GUGCNAGCGUUAAUCGGAAUAACUGGGCGUAAAGGGCACGCAGGCGGNUGAUUAAGUGAGAUGUGAAAGCCCCGGGCUUAACCUGGGNAUUGCAUUUCAUACUGGUCUACUAGAGUACUUUAGGGAGGGGUAGAAUUCCACGUGUAGCGGUGAAAUGCGUAGAGAUGUGGAGGAAUACCGAAGGCGAAGGCAGCCCCUUGGGAAUGUACUGACGCUCAUGUGCGAAAGCGUGGGGAGCAAACAGGAUUAGAUACCCUGGUAGUCCACGCUGUAAACGCUGUCGAUUUGGGGAUUGGACUGUGAGUCUGGUGCCCGAAGCUAACGUGAUAAAUCGACCGCCUGGGG
rnacentral:rRNA from 1 species